UUUCCGGUUGAUCCUGCCAGAGGCGACCGCUAUUGGAGUUCGAUUAAGCCAUGCGAGUCGAGAGUCUUAGGGACUCGGCAUACUGCUCAGUAACACGUGGAUAACCUGCCCUAUGCAAGGGGAUAACCUCGAGAAAUUGAGAAUAAUACCCUAUAGGUCACCAUGCCUGGAACGGUUGGUGACUAAAAGUUCAGGCGGCAUAGGAUGGGUCUGCGGCGUAUCAGGUUGUAGUGGGUGUAAUGUACCUACUAGCCAUUGACGCGUACGGGUGUUGGGAGACAUAGCCCGGAGAUGGAUUCUGAGACACGAAUCCAGACCCUACGGGGUGCAGCAGGCGCGAAAACUUCACACUGCAGGAAACUGUGAUGAGGGAACUCCAAGUGGUGCGGCAAAAUGUCGCAUCUUUUCUUAACUUUUAACAGGUUUUGGAAUAAGGGCUGGGAAAGACCGGUGCCAGCCGCCGCGGUAAUACCGGCAGCUCAAGUGGUCGUCGCUUUUAUUGGGCCUAAAACGUCCGUAGCCUGUUUAGUAAAUCCGUGGGUAAAUCAACGAGCUUAACUCGUUGACUUCUGCGGACACUGCUAGACUUGGGACCGGGAGAGGUGUGGGGUACUCAUGGGGUAGGGGUAAAAUCCUGUCAUCCCAUGAGGACCACCAGUUGCGAAGGCGCCACACUAGAACGGAUCCGACGGUCAGGGACGAAGCCUAGGGGCACGAACCGGAUUAGAUACCCGGGUAGUCCUAGGUGUAAACGCUGUGGACUUGGUGUCGGGGAUCCUCUAAGGGUUCUCGGUGCCGCAGCGAAGGUGUUAAGUCCACUGCCUGGGGAGUACGGUCGCAAGGCUGAAACUUAAAGGAAUUGGCGGGGGAGCACUGCAACGGGAGGAGCGUGCGGUUUAAUUGGAUUCAACGCCGGG
rnacentral:rRNA from 1 species